AAGGAGCACCACGAGACCUGGGCCGGCCCCGUAAAUCGCGGGAUCAGCUGAGCUUUCAGGCGAUUCGUUGGAUGGCCUCGCACCUGUAGUGGGUGGGGGUCUGGUGCAACAACAAACGUGAUGAAGCUGCCAGACACACUAUUGGGCUUUGAGACAACAGGCCCGUGCCCUUUCGGGGGGUGGCAUCCCGUUGGGGGUGUCGGCGUGUUGUUGCCUCACACUUUGGUGGUGGGGUGUGGUGUUUGAUUUGUGGAUAGUGGUUGCGAGCAUCUAGCACGCAGUGUGGCUGGGAGCUUCGGGUUUCCGGUCUUGUUGUGUGUUGAUGUGCAAUUUCUUUUGAAACUCAUUUUUUGGUUUUUGUG
rnacentral:misc_RNA from 1 species